UUUACAGCUUACCAAACCAUGACACGAUCUAUGACCACAGUUGUACAAACCACAGUGGUCCUACAUGUUAACUAUGGCCACGACCAUACUUCGCUUAAGAUAACCCCUACAAUCAUUACGCAUCACCACUCUCCUCAGAGGGUAUGCCGUCAUCCACAGGGAGCGAUCCUCUCACGUCUUUUCAGACCAGAUGGGGGAGAAAUAGAAAUCCCUCAGAGAUAAAAAGCCUAACGAAACACUUUAUACAUUAUGCAUGCCAAUAUUAAUACAUGUUUCUCAUGUUUGUACAUCAUUCAUGCUUAAUCAUUUUUCUACCAUAUUGCAUCACAUAUCAAUAUUUAUUUCAUCUAAAUUACACAUGCAAAUUAACAAGUUCAUGCACGAUCAUAGAA
rnacentral:lncRNA from 1 species